rnacentral:rRNA from 1 species
GACGAACGCUGGCGGCGGGCUUAACACAUGCAAGUCGAACGGAAAGGCCCUGCUUUUGGGGGGUGCUCGGGUGGCGAACGGGUGAGUAACACGUGGGUAAGCUGCACUUCAGGUUGGGUUAUGCUCAUGACACUUGGGCUAUUACGGGAUAGGAUCUCCUGCUGCUUGGUGGGGGUUGGACAGUUUGGGCGGUUGGAGAGGUACUCGCGUCUGAUCGGCUCGUUGGUGGGGUAGUGUCUGAGCAAGGCUUCGACGGGUAGCUGGCCUGAGAGGAUGACAGGCCACACUGGGACUGAGACACGGCCCAGACUCCUACGGGAGGCAGCAGUGGGGAAUCUUGCGCAAUGGGCGAAAGCCUGACGCAGCCAUGCCGCGUGAAUGAUGAAGGUCUUAGGAUUGUAAAAUUCUUUCACCGGGGACGAUAAUGACGGUACCCGGAGAAGAAGCCCCGGCUAACUUCGUG